rnacentral:rRNA from 1 species
GGCCCUAGUAACGGCGAGUGAAGCGGCAACAGCUCAAAUUUGAAAUCUGGCUCUUUUAGAGUCCGAGUUGUAAUUUGCAGAGGGCGCUUUGGCUUUGGCAGCGGUCCAAGUUCCUUGGAACAGGACGUCACAGAGGGUGAGAAUCCCGUACGUGGUCGCUGGCUAUUGCCGUGUAAAGCCCCUUCGACGAGUCGAGUUGUUUGGGAAUGCAGCUCUAAAUGGGAGGUACAUUUCUUCUAAAGCUAAAUAUUGGCCAGAGACCGAUAGCGCACAAGUAGAGUGAUCGAAAGAUGAAAAGCACUUUGGAAAGAGAGUCAAACAGCACGUGAAAUUGUUGAAAGGGAAGCGCUUGCAGCCAGACUUGCUUACAGUUGCUCAUCCGGGUUUCUACCCGGUGCACUCUUCUGUAGGCAGGCCAGCAUCAGUUUGGGCGGUAGGAUAAAGGUCUCUGUCACGUACCUCCUUUCGGGGAGGCCUUAUAGGGGAGACGACAUACUACCAGCCUGGACUGAGGUCCGCGCAUCUGCUAGGAUGCUGCCGUAAUGGCUGUAAGCGGCCCGUCUUGAAACACGGACCAAGGAGUCUAACAUCUAUGCGAGCGAUUGUGUGUCACGAACGAGCGCGUAAAGAAAAUGAACGGAGGUGGGAACCCGCAAGGGUGCAUCAUCGACCGAUCCUGAUGUCUUCGGAAGGAUUUGAGUAAGAGCAUGGCUGUUGGGACCCGAAAGAUGGUGAACUAUGCUUGAAUAGGGUGAAGCCAGAGGAAACUCUGGUGGAGGCUCGCAGCGGUUCUGACGUGCAAAUCGAUCGUCAAAUUUGGGCAUAGGGGCGAAAGACUAAUCGAACUAUCUAGUAGCUGGUUCCUGCCGAAGUUUCCCUCAGGAUAGCAGUAACGUAUUCAGUUUUAUGAGGUAAAGCGAAUGAUUAGAGGCCUGGGGGUUGAAACAACCUUCACCUAUUCUCAAACUUUAAAUAUGUAAGAAGUCCUUGUUACUUAAUUGAACGUGGACAGUUGAAUGAAACGUUAUUAGUGGGCCAUUUUUGGUAAGCAGAACUGGCGAUGCGGGAUGAACCGAACGAGGGGUUAAAGUGCCGGAAUAUACGCUCAUCAGACACCACAAAAGGUGUUGGUUCAUCUAGACAGCAGGACGGUGGCCAUGGAAGUCGGAAUCCGCUAAGGAGUGUGUAACAACUCACCUGCCGAAUGAACUAGCCCUGAAAAUGGAUGGCGCUCAAGCGUGUUACUUAUACCCCUCCGCUGGGGCAAAAUUUACGCCCCAGCGAGUAGGCAGGCGUGGAGGUCCGUGACGAAGUCCU